ensembl:snRNA U6 U6 spliceosomal RNA
GUGCUUGCUUUGGCAGCACAUAUACUAAAAUUGGAAUGACAGAGAAGAUUAGCAUGGCCCCUGUGCCAGGCUGACACACUAAUUUGUGAAGCAUUAGAUUAAUUU